GCGCUGGACAACAAGCUAAUCAUUACUUUACCUGUUCUCGAAAAGUACAAUAACAAGCAAAAGUCAGAAGUUCGGCUCUCCUCCGCUCUGGCGUCCGUUCCCUUCCAGUCACUGCAGCAGCAAAAAGCUCUUUUGGAUGAGUUAAAAAAAGUUCGAAUGCAGCUGGCGAGAAAGUACAACUGUUCGAACGCUUCAGUGUUUACCGAUGAGACUCUUAUUGAAAUGGUCUCGAAACUCCCAAAGUGCAGAGAAGAAUUUAUGGAUAUUAUUGGAAUGACUUUACCAAAAUAUAAAAAAUUCGGGAGUGAAUUUCUAGCGACUAUUGUGAAAUCAGCUCCGGCAGGCUACAAUUUAAAGAAACUAAAGUUUUUUUUCUACGGA